UGAUGCAAUCAUACUAGCACUAAUGCACUGGAUCCCAUCAAAACUUCAAAACUAAGCAUACUUCGGCAAGAGUAGUACUAAGCUGGGAGACUCCCUUGCAAGUCCUUCUGUUGCAUCCC
rnacentral:rRNA from 1 species